rnacentral:tRNA from 1 species
GAACUCGUGGCUUAGUGGGUUUAAGCGUUGGACUUCUAAUUUAACAGGUCGCGGGUUCG